AUUGCCAGAAGAACACGUUUUGUAAACUAUCCAGUAAAAAUCUCACAAUGAAGUGUAAUUUGAAUAUGUUACAGAUUUUCUCCAAGUAAAUAGACACAUUUCAUCACACACCUCUAUUUUGUGGCAACGAUUAGAUUUUUGACACUUCAUUUGACAUCAAAUUCUGUCGAAUAAAAGAUAUGUGAUAUAAAGACUGGGGUAACGUAUUGCAAAAAUACAUAAUUUCAAGAAUUAUUGAGGAGAAACCUCUGAUACAAGCGUUGUCUUAUAUAACAGAAACAAUAAUACUUGAAUCAUAAUGAAGAGAUCGAAUUGAAUUGAACAAAAAAUCUUUAAUGUUGAUUGGGUUCCCAGGAUUUAUUGGUGGCAGGUCAUUACACUGUCUUGGAGUAAUUCGAAUUCUUCUAAUAUGGUUAUCACACCCUCUGAAAAUAUGUAUGACAAUUUCAAGCGUUAUACUUUAUUAUUUAUCUAUAUGUCUCCAAGUAUUUUUAGUUCCUGUGUAUUUGUUUUUUUUAUUAUUGGCCAUACCCCUUAGAAUAACAUUUGUAGGUCUCAAAUUAUUGGUUUUGUGUCUAAUGUGUACAGUUUUACUUCCAAUUCUUGCCUACGAAUUUAUAAUAGACAAUCUAACAUGUAGAAGAAACAAUUAACAAGAAUUAUAUAGUUACAAAAUCUCA